UACGGAGGGUGCGAGCGUUAUUCGGAAUUAUUGGGCGUAAAGAGCGCGUAGGCGGUCUCUUAAGUCAGAUGUGAAAGCCCAGGGCUCAACCCUGGAAGUGCAUUUGAAACUAAGGGACUUGAGUAUGGGAGAGGGAGGUGGAAUUCCUGGUGUAGCGGUGAAAUGCGUAGAUAUCAGGAGGAACAUCGGUGGCGAAGGCGACUUCCUGGACCAAUACUGACGCUGAGGCGCGAAGGCGUGGGGAGCAAACAGG
rnacentral:rRNA from 1 species